rnacentral:sRNA from 1 species
ACCUGAAAUAACUGGAGGGCUUUCUCCUGUCCUUGC